UAGGAAGUAGGGCAGGAGAUCUGUCACACA
rnacentral:piRNA from 1 species